rnacentral:rRNA from 1 species
UUUAGUGGCGGACGGGUGAGUAACGCGUGAGAAUCUGCCUUCAGGAUGGGGAUAACAGCCGGAAACGACUGCUAAAACCCAAUGUGCCGAGAGGUGAAAUAUUAAUAGCCUGAAGAGGAGCUCGCGUCCGAUUAGCUAGUUGGUGGGGUAAAGGCUUACCAAGGCAGCGAUCGGUAACUGGUCGGAGAGGAUGACCAGUCACACUGGGACUGAGACACGGCCCAG